rnacentral:lncRNA from 1 species
GGCUCUCGACAGACUGAGGCCGUUGACAAAGGUGGACGACCUGAUGGUUGCCACCUGCCGUUAGUCUUUGCCGUGUCCCGCCAUUUGGUGCUCGACAAAGAUUUAUUUUAUUUUAUAUUUUUUUAAAAAAUGCUUUGCCGAGUGUCCCAUGACCUGACACUGGGUAAAGGUUUCUUUGCCGAGGGUCAAUUUUGGCCUCAACAAAUUUUUUUUUGUUUUUUGGCCUCAUUUUUUCAGGGGCCUAGCUACAAUAAUUACAUUCUAAUUUCAAAAUUUGGGACAGUUUUGAGUUUUCUUACUAUAUUUUCUUAAUUUUUUUCGUUUCAUUGAAUUUUUCCACAUAUUUGUAUGAUAAUCACCAGAGAAGACUAGUAACGAUGGGAUGGUGCUCCAAACGGAUAUCCGUGGUUCUUCUUUAAUUAGUCUAACUUAAUAAACAAAAUAAGAAAUAGGGAAAGAAAUUAUUUAUUUAGUUUAUUAAGUUAGACUAGAGAAAAACCGUGGGUAUACAUUUGGGGUACCAUCCCCAUCCAUAAAGACUAGCCAGAACUUAGAGAAAUCUAGUAAACAAACUUAGAGAAAUCUAACGACUAGUUCUGACAUAUGUCAGUAACUGCUGGGAGAACUCUAGUGGUACUUCCGAAGAUCUCUUGUGAGUAUGCUGAAGAGUAAAUUGCAUUCACCAUACAACAACUAAUUAAGUGGGUGCAUGUUAGUCCAAUAUCUUCUAAUUUGUCCAAUUUAAUACGACAACUAUCUAGGUGGGUGCUUAUUGGUCCAACAUCUUCUAAUCUGUUUAAUUUGAAGUAAAAAUUUAGUUCAUCGAUGUGUGUAUAUUCCAAGCAGUGUCUUUGUACACUCUAAAUUCUUAUCAUCGAAAGCUACACACCCUAGCACGCUCAUCUCGUCCAUCACUCAACUUGAAUUAUUUACUAUAUUAUGAUAACAUUUCUCAGACUUUGGCCAAAUAAAGGGUUACAUUCAAUUUCUAUUUUAAAUUUUAGUAUAGGAAAAGGCAUACCAUUAACACAAAGUGGUAAGCUUAUAAGGAAUCAAAUGCUCACUACUUAUCCUUCUAAAACUUUCGCUAAAUUUUGUGGGUCCUAAAUCCGCUAAAUUGAGUUUUAAGUUUUUACAAGUCAAUUAACCUCUCCCUCUCUAGGUCUUUCCUAUUACAUCAUCUUAUUGUUUUGUGUCUACUACAUCCUUUAAACGGUGGCAACCACUUUUUAUUUUCUUUUUUUCUUAGCUUGGUAAACCUAUAUAAGAACUUGCUUAGUUCGGUUAUAGGUAGAACCAACCCAAAAAAAACCAAAACCAAAUUUUAUUGAUUCUCGUUUUUGAAAAAACCUCUCGAUCCCUGAUUCUUAUGAGAUGGACAACCCAUGUAUCAGUUCAAGCCAGCUAUGAAUGACAAUAGUUUGGGAUUAAAACAAUAUUAUGGUAUAAAAAGAAAAAUGAUCGGUUUGAAAUUUUUCAUUUUUAUGAAAUCAAUGACACCUUUUAUAUUUGGCCAGAUUCAUAAAUGAUAUUGU